GCCAGCGUAGCUCAGUGGUAGAGCAGCUGAUUCGUAAUCAGCAGGUCCAGGGUUCAAAUCCCUGCGCUGGCU
rnacentral:tRNA from 1 species